GACGAACGCUGGCGGCGUGCUUAACACAUGCAAGUCGAACGAAGUGGCGAACGGGUGAGUAAUACGUGGGUAACCUGCCCUCCUUUGUGGGAUAAGCCUUGGAAACGGGGUCUAAUACUGAAUCAAGGGGGAUGGGCUCGCGUCCUAUCAGCUUGUUGGGGGGGGGAUGGCCUACCAAGGCGGUGACGGGUAGCCAGCCGGAGAGGGUGACCGGCGACAUUGGGACUGAGAUACGGCCCAGACGCCUACGGGGUGCAGCAGUGGGGGAUAUUGCACAAUGGGCGAUAGCCUGAUGCAGCGACGCCGCGUGGGGGAUGAAGGCUUUCGGGUUGUAAACCUAUUUCGCUAAAGAACGGGUAGGUGGAGAAGAAGCGCCGGCUAACUACGUGCCAGCAGCCGCGGUAAUAC
rnacentral:rRNA from 1 species